GAAUAACUCUGUGCAUCAUUCUUUCAGGGUACUGUGCAACAUGAGUGCCAUUGACCAAAGCAGCCACAUCACAGCAGAAGAGGCUAACGAGAGAUCACAGCCUCGGCCAAGCCAUGCAGCGGAACCGGAACGUACCCCUGAUACGGCUGA